ensembl:lncRNA
UUCCGUCACACGCUUGAGGCAUUCAGCCAAUCACAACGCACUGGAGAGCUGGCCAAUCAGAGCACACCUCGCUUUUCAGAACGAUGAGCUUUAUAAAAAUCGAGGAGAAAAAUCAUUGAGAGAAACAAUAAUGUACACGGGUGGAGGACACUCUUCAGAAGCUGGAGGCUGAGCUGGCUCUUCUGCUGGACGCUGUUGAGGCCCCUGAGUGGAGCCCCCUGCUGGACAAACCACUUAUCGACAUACUGGACGAGCCGCCGGUGUGUGAGAAUCUCACAGACUGUCAAACCAUAACAUUAUGAUUUUUACAUGAUUUCCAAGACAAAUAAACUCCAAACCCCUCACUGUCCACAGAAACAUUGUGUGUUAAUGUUUCGUCUGGUUCAAAAGCUGUAAUGACAAUGUUUACUAACGUGUGUGUUUUUUUUUUCAGAAAAAUAGGAAUGUCUAGAAAUUAAAAUGAAUAACUAAAAUUAGUUAAACCUAGUUUAACUAUUGUAUACUACUGUAUUCAGUCAGCACUUGUAGUACACUUAAGUAUGAAAGAUGGGUUCAAGUGUACUGCAAGUGCUGACUAAAUACAUUUUAAAUACAGAGAUAGUGUUAAAACUGUAAAAAAUUUUGUUCAUAUGCAUGGUGUCCCAAAAUAGCACAGUUGCGUACACUUAGAUAAAUUUAUCUUAAGAUGUGCUAAAUAAUAAUUUUUAGUAUAUUAAGUACAAUAUUAGUGUUGCAAAAUAGUGCACUUUAAGUACAUUAUGGAAGUGCACUUUCGUUUCAGCUGAAUGUUCAUCAGGUAUUCUACUUUUUAAUUUUCAUUUUCUUUUUGAAAUAUAUAAUUUAAUAUUUUUUUCUCUUUUGAUUUCAGGGUGAAGUAUGAUCCUGCCGUUUCUUCAUGAGAUCGCACACAACAAUAAAUGGAUAGAGCAGCUCAUAAAGUUCCUGUCCUAAUAAUUCAAAACAGGGUUUUUUUUUUUUUUAAGCUUUUCUUAUGAAAAUGAAACGACUCAUUUAUACUACUUUUCUGUGUGUCAGUGUUCUUCUUGUUUGUUUGGAACUGUAUUACAGAUGAUUUGAGGUGAUGAUCAAUCACUGCAUGCAUGUGCAUAUACAACAUGUUUACAAGUACAUACAGUGAACACUUUCUCUCUUUUCUUUCCUGAAUCCAGGAAACCUGUUGUUUGUUCAGACUCCCAGCAUGCAUUGCUCUUUUACUAUUGCUUCUGUUGUUAGCUUUAGUAACUUGUUCAGAGUUUGUUUUAAUGUACUGCAUCUCACUCAUUGAGAAAAUAUAAUUAUUUUUCACAUUUUGAUCUGACUGAUUCAUGUUGUGAACAUGCUGUGAUGUGGAGUCUUAAUAAACUAAAUAAAAAAUUUAAUUAAUCUUAAAAGUUUAAUUAAUCUUAUUUUAAAUUUUCAUCUUGAGGCCUGUGGUGUAUAGAAGACUGAACGCAAUGUGAAAAAAAAAAAAAAUCAAGGUCAAAAACUUUAAAGAGCGAAAAAGAAUAAAAUUUAAAGAGAAACCGGUUUAUGAAGAGAAAGGUUUUUUUUUUUUUUUUUUU